CAACAACAACAAAACGGGUUCUGGGAGCGUGAGGCUGGGACUGGGACCCGGGCGACCUCAUUCCAUAUCCCUGUUUCAGGUGGGGGAAGUUGGAGACACGUUAGAGACCCCUCCACUCCAGGAAUCCACCUCGAGAGAUUAAGGUCCUGGCUCUAACCACACCCCCAAGACAAGGCCAGAGGUCGCCUCUCUAGGCGGGACCCCUCCCUCCCCACCGCCAGGUUCCCGGAGUGCGCGUGGUGUGGGGGGGGCGGGGGGCCGCAGGCGCGCGGACUGGAGCGGCGCGCCCCUCCCGCGUGUUGAAAUUCAAAAGAGGCAAACAACUCCCGGGCGCGGCGCAGCGCCGGUGGAGAGGUCAAGGCAGGGUCCAGUCGGAGGCUCCCAGGGCGGGGUCGAACCCGCUGCCGACGACGCAGCAUCGGAAGCUUAAAGAGCUCAGGUUCCCUCCCUACAGCCCUGCCAUGGCUACGGAGCAGUGGUUCGAGGGGUCGCUCUGCCUGGACCCUGGAGAAACACCACCUCCAGACGUCUUAAAACCUGGGACGCCGUCCUGCGCAGACCCCUCCCGGUCGACGCCCCCCAGCAGGCCUGGGGACCCACCUGAGCCGGACCCCGAAGAUGCUGAGGGGCAGCUGCCUGAAGCCCCGGCCUCCAUGCCUUCCUCAGAACCUCUGGUUCCCGGGCCCGGGCCAGCACCACCCCGCCUACCCUUGGAAACUUUGUUCAGCCCCAUUACCGAACAGCUGCGCUACCUACUCAAGAAGGCGGAUGAUUUCCAGAGCUACUUGCUCUACAGCAGAGAUCAAGUACAGAAGGAGCAGCUGGCCAAGGCCAUGCCCACAUUCUUACAGAUGUGUGAACCCUACUUCCUGUAUCUGGAGGCAGCCUCGAGAAGUGUACCCCCCAUCUAUGGAGUCCUGCAGGAGCUGGUCCGAAAGGGGCUGUUAGAGAUCUCCCAGCAGCUGACUCUGCGCCUGGAACAGCUGGUCCUCAUGUACGCUUCCUUUGGGUUUGUGGACCUGGAGGAGACAAACCCCCUUAGCAUCUCCUGUUUCUUUUGCGGGAGGUUCUCCAUCAGCAUGUCCCACGAGGUGUCCAUCUUCAGAUACUGUGCCCCAGCCGCCUACACUGCCAGCCGCUUCCCCCGAUACCUCUAUAAGAAGAUGCGCUGGCACCUGGAAACCAUCCCAGAGGCCCCUGGUCGGGGACAAGAUACCCUUGUGGAUUACUACUUCCUAUGCUAUCGAGAUACUUGGGAGGACACAGGCCAGACUCCUGCCAAUCCAUUCCCGCAGAUCCAGAAGCUGUGGUCCAUCGGCCGAUGGGUGCCCCUGGGACCAGCCGAGGAUGACCUUUAUUCGUGGAUUUUGUGCCCGCAGCCUCUUGGGGACUACCAGCAGCUGCUGACCAUCGGCUUCGAGGAGCCCUCGCCCAUGCUGGCCACCGACCUGCUGGUGCAGAUCCUCACGGGCCAGGCAGGCCAGGCCCGGCCUCCGAGCGCAGCCGGGCCCGCGGGGUGGGCGGCUCAAGGGUCUUGAAUCUGGGCGGACGAGAGUCUGGCGCAUGCGCAUAGGUGCACAUGAAGCAACAAGAGAAGCGGUGCCUGUCAACAACCGGAACCCAGAAAAUCUCAAGUUUCGGGUAGCGAGGAAAUUCAACGCCCACUGGAGGAAAAGACUUAAGACGGAGUCUCACUCUCGCCACGCUGGCUGCAGUGGUGCGAUCUCGGCUCACCGCAACCUCCGCCUCCCAGGUUCAAGCGAUUCUCCUGCCUCGGCCUCCUGAGUGGCUGGGACUACAGGCACCUGCCACCACGCCCAGCUAAUUUUUGUAUUUUUAGUAGAGAUGGGGUUUGUCCAUGUUGGUCAGGCUAGUCUCGAACUCCUGACCUCAGGUGAUCCACCUGCCUCGGCCUCCCAAAGUUCUAAGAUUACAGGUGUGAGCUCUUUCUCCCUCUCUCUUUUCUUUUUUUUGAGAUAGAGUCUUGCUGUUGCCAGGCGCCAGGCUGGAGUGCAGUGGCAUGAUCUCAGCUCACUGCAACUUCCACCUCCUGGGUUCAAGCAAUUCUCGUGCCUCAGCCUCCGGAGUAGCUGAGACCACAGGCACAUGCCACUAUGCCCGGCUAAUUUUUGUAUUUUUUAGUAGAGAUGGGGUUUCACCAUGGUCUUGAUCUCUUGACCUCAUGAUCCACCCACCUUGGCCUCUCACAGUGCUGGGAUAACAUUUUUUUAAAAAAGACUUUGUCCCUGCUAGUAUAUACAAUGGAGUGUGGGGGAAUAAAAGAGACUUUGUCUUGCUGUAUUGCC